CGGUUUAUAGCUUAAUUUGGUGGAGCGUGGCCUUGAUAAGGCUAAGGUUAUUGGUUCAAUUCCAAUUUUACCGA
rnacentral:tRNA from 1 species